GACGAACCGUGCGAACGUUGUUCGGAAUCACUGGGCAUAAAGGGCGCGUAGGCGGCUUAUCAAGUCAGGGGUGAAAUCCGGCAGCUCAACUGUCGAAGUGCCUUUGAUACUGAUGAGCUCGAGGGAGGUAGGGGUAUGCGGAACUUCCGGUGGAGCGGUGAAAUGCGUUGAUAUCGGAAGGAACGCCGGUGGCGAAAGCGGCGUGCUGGACCUCUUCUGACGCUGAGGCGCGAAAGCUAGGGGAGCAAACGGG
rnacentral:rRNA from 1 species